rnacentral:rRNA from 1 species
CACGUAGGGUGCGAGCGUUGUCCGGAAUUACUGGGCGUAAAGGGCGCGUAGGCGGCAUGGCAAGUCAGGAGUGAAAGGCCUGGGCUCAACCGAGGAACUGCUUUUGAUACUGCCAAGCUAGAGUGCGGAAGGGGCAACUGGAAUUCCCAGUGUAGCGGUGAAAUGCGUAGAUAUCAAGAGGAACACCUGAGGUGAAGACGGGUUGCUGGGCCGACACUGACGCUGAUGCGCGAAAGCCAGGGGAGCAAACGGG